AGUUUGAUCAUGGCUCAGAUUGAACGCUGGCGGCAGGCCUAACACAUGCAAGUCGAGCGGUAACAUUUCUAGCUUGCUAGAAGAUGACGAGCGGCGGACGGGUGAGUAAUGCCUGGGAAUAUGCCUUGAUGUGGGGGAUAACUAUUGGAAACGAUAGCUAAUACCGCAUAAUCUCCGAUCUUUUACGAGAUGGGAGCAAAGAGGGGGACCUUUUGGCCUCUCGCGUCAAGAUUAGCCCAGGUGGGAUUAGCUAGUUGGUGAGGUAAAGGCUCACCAAGGCGACGAUCUCUAGCUGGUCUGAGAGGAUGAUCAGCCACACUGGAACUGAGACACGGUCCAGACUCCUACGGGAGGCAGCAGUGGGGAAUAUUGCACAAUGGGCGCAAGCCUGAUGCAGCCAUGCCGCGUGUGUGAAGAAGGCCUUCGGGUUGUAAAGCACUUUCAGUCGUGAGGAAGGUAGUGUAGUUAAUAGCUGCAUUAUUUGACGUUAGCGACAGAAGAAGCACCGGCUAACUCCGUGCCAGCAGCCGCGGUAAUACGGAGGGUGCGAGCGUUAAUCGGAAUUACUGGGCGUAAAGCGCAUGCAGGUGGUUUGUUAAGUCAGAUGUGAAAGCCCGGGGCUCAACCUUGGAAUUGCAUUUGAAACUGGCAGACUAGAGUA
rnacentral:rRNA from 1 species